rnacentral:snRNA from 1 species
UUGUUUCAGCAGAACAUACACACUAAAAUUGGGAUAAUACUGAGAAGACUAGCAUGGCCUCUGUGCAAGGAUAACAUGGACUUUCAUAAACUGUUCCAUACUUUU